UACGUGAUCCUUCGAGUCCUCCAACAAGGUAGGCCAAUAAUAGCCUUGCCUCAUGAUCUUGUGCGCUAAGGACCUAGCCCCCAAGUGCGAUCCGCAGACGCCCUCAUGGACUUCGCCGAGGACGUAGGCCGCCUCCGAGGGGCGGAGGCACCUUAAGAGGGGGGCGGUGAACGAGGUCCGAUACAGCCUCCCUUCAUAGAGUACGUAGUGGGCGGACUUCUUGACAAGUCGCCGAGCUUGAUCUUCGUCUUCAGGGAGGAUCCCUUCGGCGAGGUAGGCGACGAGCGGAUCCAUCCAAGACGGCUCCGGAUCAAUCGCCAUCACCGCUCCAGCCUCGCCGAUGCUCGGGGCAUCCAGGGUCUCCAGGUAGAUUGCCCUCGACAAGUUGUGCGCCUCUGUGCCCACCAAGCGGGACAACCUGUCGGCCCUGGCAUUUUCGCUUCUGGGGACCUGCUGAAUGUCGACACUGCCG
rnacentral:lncRNA from 1 species